rnacentral:rRNA from 1 species
UGGGGAAUUUUGGACAAUGGGCGAAAGCCUGAUCCAGCCAUGCCGCGUGAGUGAAGAAGGCCUUCGGGUUGUAAAGCUCUUUUAGUCGGAAAGAAAGAGUUGCAAUGAAUAAUUGUGAUUUAUGACGGUACCGACAGAAAAAGCACCGGCUAACUACGUGCCAGCAGCCGCGGUAAUACGUAGGGUGCGAGCGUUAAUCGGAAUUACUGGGCGUAAAGGGUGCGCAGGCGGUCUUGCAAGUCAGAUGUGAAAGCCCCGGGCUUAACCUGGGAAUUGCGUUUGNAACUACAAGACUAGAGUGCAGCAGAGGGGAGUGGAAUUCCAUGUGUAGCAGUGAAAUGCGUAGAGAUGUGGAAGAACACCGAUGGCGAAGGCAGCUCCCUGGGUUGACACUGACGCUCAUGCACGAAAGCGUGGGGAGCAAACA